rnacentral:lncRNA from 1 species
UGUAAAAGAGAGUAAAUUAAUGUUGGAGUAGUAAAUUAUAAGAAGAAAUUGUAAAUAAAGUAAAAACUUAGAAAAAUGACAUAAAAUUUAUAAAUUGACAUCAAGUCUAAAAUAAAAUAAAAAAUAUGUAAACUACACGUAAGACUAAUAAAUUAAUAGAAAAUAGGGUAAAUUAAUGUUAGAGUUGUAAAUUACAAGAAAAUAUUGUAAACAAAACAAAAACUUAGCAAAAUGACAUAAAACUUGUAAAUUGACAUUAAAUCUAAAAUAAAAUAAUAAAAUGGGUAAACGAUAUAUAAAACUAGUAAAUUGAUGGAAAAGUAGGUAUUAAUGUUGAAGUAGUAAACUAGUCUUCAAAAUUAUAAAUAACACAAAAGCUUGUAAAUAUCGCAGAAAACUUUUGAAUCAACAUUAAGUGGCAAAUAACACAUUAAUCUUGUAAAUCACACACAAGGACUAGUAAAUUGAAGGAAAAAGUGGUAAAUUAAUAUUGGAGUUGUAAAUUGCUCUUUGGAAUUGUAAACAAAAAAAAAACUUUGAAAAAUGAAAUAAAUCUUGUAAAUUACCAUUAAGUGUGAAAUGAAAUAAAAAUUUUGUAAACCACACAUAAAAUUAGUAAAUUGAUGAAAAAUAGAGUAAAUUAAUAUUGGAGUUGUAAAUUGACAUUAAGUUUGAAAUAAAAAAAUGCGUAAACCACACAUAAAAUUAGUAAAUUGAUGGAAAAGAGAGUAAAUUAAUAUUGGAGUUAUAAAUUACAAGAAGAAAUUGUAAAUUUAACCAAAACGUAUAAAUCGACAUUAAGUCUAAAAUAAAACAAAAAAUGUGUAAAUCACACAUAAGACUAGUAAAUUGAUUGAAAAUGUAGUAAAUUAAUGACUAGAGUAGUAAAUUACAAGAAAAAAUUGUAAACAAAACAAAAGCUUAGAAGAAUGAUAUAAAACUUAUAAAUUGACAUUAAGUCUAAAAGAAAACAAAAAAUGUGUAAACCAUACAUAAAACUAACAAAUUGAUAGAAAACAAGGUAAAUAAAUGUUGGAGUUUUAAAUUGGUCUUUAGAAUUGUAAAUAAGACAAAAAUUUUAAAUAUCGCAUAAAGCUUGUAAAUCAACAUUAAGUGGCAAAUAACACAUUAAUCUUGUAAAUCACACAUAAAACUAGUAAAUGUAACUUGCAACUUGAACAAAAAAGAAUAAUUACCUGCUACUUACGUAACAUGUUACCUAUUUAUUUAGAAUUAAUGGUGGUGACUCUUAUGGCAUUAAUGCCAUAAUUUUAAUUACGACAUUAUAGAAUGACUCAUUUCCAUUAAAAAACCUGGUUGUAAGUUAAAAUUAAUGUAACUUAGGGACAUCUUUAUUACUUCCACUUAAUUGCUUAAGAAAAUGCUUUUUUCAGUUGUAGGCCUUCUGCGGUUACCUAUGGGAUUUUGAUUAAAGUCUUUUGACUGAAAUGGAUGAUCAAGGUUCAAAGUCCAAUCUGGUAACAUUUCCUUUGUAUGCUGAUGAACCAUGCAGGGAUGACAAAGAUAAAAGUUCUAAAUCUAUUUAUUCCCACUAUUAGAAAAAUGAGCUUUACUGACACUUCGUUACUGACACUUUGCAAAAAGUGUCAGUACUUAUGUACAUAUGCACCAUUUUCCGCUUUUGACAAAUAGGAAUCAGAGAUUAAUGAUACUAGGGUGUCAGUAAACUAAAUAUAAAAAAUCACUAACACUAAAGUAUCAACCAGUUAAGAGUGUACGUGGCGUUGUUAUACCAGAACUACAACAGUUAAAACUGUACUUUGGACCAGUAGUCCGCAAGCUCGGGUUUCUAGCCGAUAUACCUCUGUAAUCAAAACCUUUAAAACAUUUUUUCUCAGGUUAUACAACCCAAAACAGACUUCUCUUUAGUCUAAAACAGGGUACCAAACCAGAUAAGAAAUGAUCAAAAGUUUUCCGAUGCACAGGAUCCUUACUAGAAGGCAAGUGCAGAGCAUACUUCCUUAGGUUUUCAAAAUGAACAAAUUUUAUCCUUUAUUCUUUUUCUUUCUUAGAACUUCAUUUGCAGAGAGAGAGAAGAGGUUUAGGGAUUCAUGGAAGAAAACACACGAGUUUUUUUUUCUUGGAAAUUUUUUUUCUUAUUUCUUCUAUCUUACAAGCAAGGGGAGAAUCCUUUAUAUAGAGGAGGACUCUUGAGAAGAUAGGACAAGACCCCUAUCUUUUACAAAAGCAAAAGCAAAAGGUAAGAUAGGACAGGACCCCUAUCUUUUACAUAAUGGCACAACUUUAAUUAUUACAAAAGACAAAAGUGCUUUAAUAAUUAAAGCAUGACUUUGACAAAAGCAAAAGCAAAGGCUUAAAGUAAAAGCAAACUUUAAUAAUUAUGCAAGCAUAAAGCGAAACAUCAUUAUGGCAACAAGACAAACUACUUUAUGGAGAGCGGAGGUUCAUGUACUCGUCUUCGGAUGAGCUUUCUGUCUCAUAUGGGUUGUCAGGGUUGCUUUUUGGGAAAAAGGUCUUGGAGAGCUUUGGAUGCUUACAGUGGGGACCACGGCAAGGUGGAUAAGGGCAAUUAUAGUCUAUGGGAGUACACUUUGGAGUAUACUUAGGGGAAGUUUGGGUGGCUUUAUCAACUUUGAAUGGUUGAGCUGGUCGUUUGGAAGAUUGGGUUGAGGGUCCUGGUUCAGAGGGGCCAGGUUCAUCCAUUGUUGGUUGGGGAAACUGGUGAAGGUGUUGGCUCAGAGGGAGAAAUGCAUCCCAUGGGUCUUGGGAAUCCUGAAACAAGAAAUCAGUGUAGUCUGGUUUUUCUUCUUUGAUGAUGAUACCUGUAGACUUUGGUUUGGAUACGGCGGAUGGAGUGGGGAUCAUGAGGAGGUCAUGUUGUGGACCUAAGGAGGUGUGGGAGAUAUCUUUAAGUGGCGGAGGUUGGUGGUUCAGUUGGCAAAGGUAGUUAUGCAGGACAUCUUGUAUGUCAUUUUCAAUUACAGCUAUAUGUGGGGCAGUGAACCAUUCAUAUACCUGGUCUUGAGUCCAAAAGAGUUUGGUGUCUGGGUGUUGGAAGUAUGGCCUGUGAAUAAUAAAGACUGAUGUGAACAGUGGUGCUUCAGGGGCAGGCAUACUAUCAAGGUUGUAAAUAUCUGACAGUUGUUGCAGCUUCUUUCUCCACCAUGGUAUGGGGGAAAACCAUUCAAGUAAUGUCUAGGUAAGAGAGGUGGCAUUGUCUGAAUUAAGGAGAUGCUCCAAAGUAGGAGAAAUGGGAAGGAUUAGCUUGGUGGCAUAGAGGACUGUUAGGCACCAGAUGUACCAUAACACAUCUUCAGUGGUUUCUCUGGUUGAAUCAAGGGUUAAACUUGUAAGGAACAGAUUUUCUGGGUGGAAAGUGGAAAAAGGAAAAGGGUCUGUGACAAGGUAGGCUUUCAUGAAAAAGCGAAAGAGAGCUUUUCUAGCAAAUUCUUGGAUGGCAAAAACAGAGGAGAAGGUUUUGUUGAAGGGAAAAGUUUUCUUGGUGAGAGCUUCUGGAGGUAGUGAGGUAGCCAUGGAGAUAAUUGGAAAAUGGUAGGUGGUGGAAAACAUGGUGAGAGGGUUUUCUGGUUUGGAGAGUCUGGAAAGCAUAUCAGGGAUGAGGUUCUGGGAUCCCUUUAUAUGCUUGACUGAAAAGUCAUAUUUGGAAAACCAAUCUUUUAACCUGAGUAACAUUUUUUCGGGAACAGUUUUACCUUUGAAAUGAAAGAUAUUGGGGAAGGCUGAGUUGUCCAUUCGAAUGAGAAAAUGGUGUCCAAUCAAAUGAUACUCAAACUUUUUGAUGCCAUUCUUUACCGCUAAGAUUUCUUUGAACACGCUAUGGUAGUGCUUCUGUGUGUCAGAAAAAUGUCCACUAGCGUAAGCGAUAAAGUUUUCUUUUCCGUUGAUUUCUUCAAGGAGUAUGGCACCCCAUGAUUCAUCACUUGCGUCUGUCUGUAAGAUGCGCUUGCCAUCUGUAAUCAACUUUAAAGGAGGCGGAUUUUGCGCAAUCUGCUUGAGGGUAGUGACAACAGCUGUGUGGUCAGCAUUCCAUUCUGGGGGCUUCUUUUUCAAUAAAGCCGAGAGAUGGUGAGUGUAAUGAUCCACGUGGGGGAUGAAAUCACGGAUGUAGUUGAUGAUGCCGAGAAACUGUUGAAUUUGCCUUUUGGAAAGUUGCUGAUCUGGAAAGUGAAGCAAUUCUUGGGCAAUGUGCUUUCCUGGCUGGUAGUGUCCAUCUUUUAUGAUCAUACCAAGGAAUUCAACAUUAUUUGUAGCAAUGAUGCUUUUCUUGGCCGAUAACAUGAUUCAAUGACUUUGGAGAAUAUCAUAGAAUUGAGUUAACAGUUGGCGAUGUUCAUCAUGUGAGCCUGAAAAAAGUAAGAUAUCAUCAAUAUAAAUCAAUGCAUGAUGCAAAAUGGGUUGGAAGAUUUGGACCAUGGAUUUUUGGAAAAUGGAUGGGGCAGUUUUGAGACCAAAGGGUAGGACGGUCCAUUGGAAAUGGGCAUUGGGAAUACAAAAAGCGGUUUUGUAACGUUCGGAGGGUUCAAUGCCUAGUUGCCAAAAACCUGAUUUUAAAUCAAAUUUUGAAAAGAUCUGGGCAUUUUUGAGAAAAGUGAACAUGCUUUGUCGACGAGGUAGUGGGAAUUUGUCAUCUUGUAAAAACAUGUUUAAUGGUUGGUAGUCAAUGACUAGGCGUUUCUUUCCUCGGAUAAUUUCGGAAUGCUUUUCAACAUAAAAGGCUUGGCAAGCCCAUUGAGAACUUGUGGGCUCAAUUAAACCUUGGGCUAACAACUGUGAACAUUCUUGUUGGGCUAGGAGUAAGUCAGAAUGACUCAUUCCUGGAUGGGUAGCUUUGGUUGGGUUAAUAUCUUCAUUGAUUUUGAAGGGUAACGUAAUGAAGAAAGACUUAUUUUUCCACAAAGGAUUUGGAUGGGUGAACUCAGAAUGGGACUCUGGACAGAAACUCAAAAGUUUGGUUGAAAUAUCCUGGUAGGACUGGGGAGUUUCAGACAAAUUGUAGAGUUUCAGAAUGUCUGUGAAUGGUUUGAACAUGGACUUGACUCGGAUUCCAGUGGGAAUGAUUUGGAGGUGUUUGAUUUGGUGAAGGAUGUUAAAUUCUAACAAGAUAUCCUUAUUAGGAAGAGUUGAACCAAUAACUUUGGUCCAAAUGACACAAUUUGGGAAGAUUUGAAUACCAAUUGGUUUUUUGGUAAUCAAAGAGGUGGUAAAGAGUUUGCCAUUGACAGCUUUGAAAUGUUCUUCAGACUGGGUCCAAUAUUCUGAUGGAAGAAUAUGGGGGUUUAACAUGCUGCGUUGGGCGCCAGUAUCUAUAAGACCAAUUGCUGGAAUGGGCCUUUGGAAUUUUGAGGGCAAGAUCUGGAGUUUGAUGGAUGGGACAGGAAUUGUAGUAUCAAGGGAGAGUAACUGUUGGUGGAAAAUCACUUGAGACCGGUCACUGUCUGAAUCAGAGGAAUUCUGUAGUGCGAACACUGUUUCAUCAUUGGGCUCAUCUUGUUCAGAGAAAUAGAAUUCCAGCUCAUCUUUGGCAGGGGAGUAGUCGGUAGUUGCUUGAAGAUGCUCAACUAACCGGAUGGAUUUUUCUCUUUUGUUGGGGCAAUCUUUGGCAUAGUGGCCUUUUCUCUUGCAGAUGAAACAUCUGCUUGAUUGCUUUCGUUUGAAUUCUCUAGAGGAGGAAGAUUUCUUUCUGAAGAAUCGGUAGGGCUUUCGGGAUCUGCGAGGCUUGGAGGAAAAUUCUGGAGGUUUGAAUUUCCGAAAAUGCCGUUUUUUCUUUGAACUGCAAUCGCAAUGCUUUUGCUUGUGGCAUUUGAUCUGCAAAUAAGGCUUUUUGCAAGCACUUCGGAAAGGUUCUUUGUCUUUCAACAGUUCUUUGAAAAACUAUUUUUGCUCGUAAAGUUUGUCAAGACAAGUUUUGGCAAGCUGUAAGAUUUUGCCAAGAGAGAUGUUGUCUAGGGAAAGAUUGGAUGCUGUGAGUUGUCUCUGGAUGUUGGGUUGGAGUUCUUCGGGAAGGGAAGCCAGAAAGACAUGCUUUAAUGUCGGCUCAUUGAAUCCAUUAAGCUUAUAGAAUAGCAGGGACAUCCGCUUAUAAUGGAAGUCAAGAUCCUUAGCAUUGAGGGAGCAGCAUUUCAUGUUGAGAUAAUCUCGUCUGGCAGCUUCAAAGACUGCAGAAGGGUCUCCAAGGAAUUGAUCAUGAAGUACAGCAAGAGCACUUGAGACUUCUGGGAGAUCAACAAACUGUAGUUGGCGGUAUUGUCCUAACGAAUCAAACCAAUCUCUUAGAGCACCCGUGAAACGAGUAGCAAAUUCUCUAAGGACUGAUUGAGUUGUUGCUCCUGGUCUUAGCAUCUGGAGGUCAAUCCAGGCAUACAUUUCAUUGAGUCGGUCACGCCAUUUAUGAGAUAGAAGAUCAUCAAAUGUGAACCAUGGGCCAUUUGACGAUUUUUGGCUCGAUGGAUUGGUCUGGGUUGGAGGAGGUUGGUUUGUGGCAGAAGAUUCAGGCAUUUCUUCUUCAACUUUGGAGGGAAUAUCAACAUAUGGUUCUGUAUGAGAGGUUUGGCUUUGGGUAGGUUGAUCAGGUUGAGCCAUCAGGAUUUUGGUGAUAUCAGCAUAGGACUUUUCAGAGUCACUGGUGGAUACUGAAGAUUCUGUAUCAGUUUCGGUAGGGCUAUCUGAAACAGCUGGAUUUGAAUCAGAAGUUUGAUCGACUGUAGUAGAUGAAUGGGUGACUGUGUGAGUAGUAAAUUGGUGCAUGGGUUCUUUAUCCUUAGAUUGGGUAGGGACUGAUAAUGGAGCUAGUGGUGAUGCCGGUGUAGGACUAGGAGAUGGUUGGCCAGGGAUGGUCAAUGAGGAAGGAUGAAGAGGUGCAGGGCGAGGCUGCGGUCUAGGUUUGGGUUUAGGUUUAGGUGGUGGAGGCAAAGGAUUGUCUCUGAAAAGAGUAUGAGUCAUACCAAAUAACUUGGAAGGGUCAUACUGUUUAAUAGGAGAAAGCAUAGAGGCAAAAGGAUGAUAAGUUGGACCGAUGGAAGGGAUAGGAGGUGAAGUGGUGAAAAGGGUAGGUCUCUGUUUUUCAGACUCAAUCUGGGCAAGUUUAGCUUUUAAGCGUCUGAUUUCCCUUUCUUUUUGGUCAAAUUCGGGGCCUGAGUAACGAUGGGCAAGCAUGGCUCGUAACUCAGAGUCAAGUUGAGAAAUUCUGGACUGGAGGUUUUGGUAGAUCUGCUGCAUCUGUGCAGUGAUGGAGUCAACUUUUGUCUCAAUCUGUUCAGUUCGCAAACUGAUGUUCUCAACUUUUGAAUUGAGAUGCAACAAGGUAUCAUUUUGGGCCCUGGCAUUUUAAGUUUGCAAGUUGAGGACUGAUUCAAAGGGUUUAUGGGGCUCCAGGUGGCCAGUGGAUGUAAUAGGUGAAGGGAUAAAGGGUUUUGACACAACAUUUCGUUGGGGAUCUAUGUGGGGUUCCAAAGAAGGAAAGGAAGAAGAGUAAUCGGAAGAGGUAGAGGAAAACAUCAUACAAGCCAGUGGUUGGACGAUAGGUGUUGAGUGUGAGAGGGGUGAUGGAAUCUCAGAUUUGCAAUGUUUGGCAAUCCAUUUGAGUUCUUUUCGGUAGAUGGGUAAUGGAGUCGGUGGAGGUGGAGGAUCUGAUGGUGGUUUAGGGUCACAGUGGUGACAUGGGAUAGGAGGUUUUUUCUUUUUGGGUUUCUUUUUCCUUGUGGUUGCGUAAUCAUCGUCUUCAUCCCAAUCAUCCCAGCAGGGACAAUUUGGGUCACACAUGCCGGAACCAGGGGUAUCCCAUAGGAAAUGGCCAUUGUAUUUGGCUGGAUAAACAGGGUAACCUUCAGAAUUAAACCCUGUAAUGGGCAGAUCUUCUUGGGCUGUCUGAACAGCUGUGAUCAUUGAGGAAUGAGUAAAGGAGAGCCGAGGAGGCUCUUGUGGAGCACUUGGAGGUGGUUUAAAAGUCAUUCUGACUGUUCCAUCUUGUCUUCGUUCGAACAUACUUUCGGAUGUCUGAAUGGGAGCUGUAUUAUUGUGGAACUGUUCGUAGUUGGAGAUCCAUUCAAGAGGCAUAAGCUUGAUGAGCUCAUGACGAGGAAUUUGUCGUGGGAUCUGGAUGAUUGUCGGGAUCUGGUCAGAUUCUGCUAACACCAUGAGGGUGUCAGAGUGGUGUUCUGGUGUGGGUAGAUCUAAGGCAUGAUUUUGAAGCCUAUAGACCAGUUGGUGGUGUAAGGUAGCAAUUUUGGCGGAAGAAAUUUGUUCAGCACCUUGAAUUUGGAUUUGGACCUUCAAGGUUGUGGGUAAGUUGGGAUCUUGGAGAGAAAGGUUGAAGUUGGGAUAGAAAGUGAGUAAAACACUUCCUGCAUGAAGGGUUGUAAGGACAGUGCCUAUGACAGCAUCUUGGUAUUGUUUAAACCGGGUAUCAAGCAUAGCAAGGCGAGCUGUAACUGAUAAUCCUUUUCUUCCGUGAAGGGUAAGGAUUAAUUUGAUGCCUCCAAGGUGGAGAUGAGUGUAACCUUCUCGUUUCCAGUUGGAAAUCAACUCUGAGGGUAUUUCAAGAGUGACAUAUUGCUCAGCAGGGGUUGCUUGGAGUGAACACUGAUCCAGGCGAGAAGACUGGAUAUAUUCUUUAGGGUGAGGUCUUCGGGUGGAUAUGAGAGUACGGAUACUGCGAGUAAAAGAACUGGGGCGUUUAUAUAGUUGGUAAGGGCUUAUGAGAGGGUAUGAAGAUUCACUUAUCUGGGCGGAUUCAGGGAUGUAGGAGUAUUCUACAAGAUGUUCAAUUUUGUUGGCAGUAUGAGAAGUGCAAGAUUUUGGUAAGGAAAGAGUAGAAGAAAGAGUAACAGGAGUUGAAGGAGUGGAAGAUGAAGUAGAAGCCAUGAAUGAGAAAUUCUCUCUGCGUGUGAAGUCUAAUGAGCAAAACAGAAUAAAGGCAGAAAUUAUACCAUUUUGAGCAUGAAAACAAGAAUUUAGAAAACAAGUUUCAAGGAACGGUCUGGCACAAGUUUCAUAAAAAUUUUGUUUUAGCUCCAGCUCGAACCUGAGAGCUCUAAGAUUUAA